rnacentral:rRNA from 1 species
UACGGGGGGGCAAGCGUUGUUCGGAAUUACUGGGCGUAAAGGGCUCGUAGGCGGCCAACUAAGUCCGACGUGAAAUCCCCAGGCUCAACCUGGGAACUGCGUCUGAUACUGGAUGGCUUGAAUUCGGGAGAGGGAUGCAGAAUUCCAGGUGUAGCGGUGAAAUGCGUAGAUAUCUGGAGGAAUACCGGUGGCGAAGGCGGCAUCCUGGACCGACAUUGACGCUGAUGAGCGAAAGCUAGGGGAGCAAACGGG